UGGGAUGUAGCUCAGUGGUAGAGUGCUUGCCUAGAAUGUAUGAGACUCUAGGUUCAGUUUCCACCAUCUCAA
rnacentral:tRNA from 1 species